rnacentral:rRNA from 1 species
UGAACCUGGGGAGGGAUCAUUA